rnacentral:rRNA from 1 species
GUAUGGAGCAAGCGUUAUCCGGAUUUACUGGGUGUAAAGGGAGCGCAGGCGGUGCGGCAAGUCUGAUGUGAAAGCCCGGGGCUCAACCCCGGUACUGCAUUGGAAACUGUCGUACUAGAGUGUCGGAGGGGUAAGUGGAAUUCCUAGUGUAGCGGUGAAAUGCGUAGAUAUAUGGAGGAACACCAGUGGCGAAGGCGACGGUCUGGGCCGCAACUGACGCUCAUUCCCGAAAGCGUGGGGAGCAAAUAGGAUUAGAUACCCUAGUAGUCCACGCUGUAAACGAUGAUUACUAGGUGUGGGGGGAUUGACCCCUUCCGUGCCGGAGUUAACACAAUAAGUAUUGCACCUGGGGAGU